UUGCUGGGCCUCGGAGUUGGUCCCGGCUCUGCCGCCUGUUCUGUUGUGUGCACUGGAAUAUUGAUUUUUCAGUGUGUGUGCGCCGGCUCUGUAAAAAUCAAUAUUUCAGUAGCUCGAGCACAGCGCAGGGCAGUGUAAUGGAGCCGGCCUGCUGAUGUAACGUGUGGGGUCCACCCUCAGCGAUUGAGAGAUAAUCUAAGCCAGGCCUGGUGACAUCUACCUGUAACUCAGGAGGCAGGAAGAGGACAAGUUUGAGGCCAGCCUGGAAAACAAGCCCUUUUUUCAGGGGAGAGGGAAGAAAGAGGAAUGUGAGAAGAGGUGACAGGCUGUGUAACUAGGAUCUCAGCAACACCCUGUAAACACAACUGGAUGCAUUUCUCCCAGACCUCAGCCAGUAAGAUGUGGUACCUUUUCACCAGUUCAUAUGUCACCUGAUGAAAGCAGCUAUGACCUUUUACAACAAUUGCCCUCUGUCUUUACAUUGGCUCUCUUCGCUUUACUGGGCCCCAUGAAGAUCACCUUAGGGGCACCUUUCAACCUAUUCCUAUGAAAUGGCAGCAGAACGGAAAAUGACACCAAAGUAAACGGACGCCAUUUGUGGAUACACUGAAGGAUAGAUAUGAGUGCUUUUCAUUUGUGAAUGUGAAAAUGUCACAGGUCGUUUCUGAGCAUGUUCCAGCUGGAAGCCAAAAAUGCUUUGGGGUAAACAUAUGGAGCACAUGUGCAGAAGCACUGAAAAUUAGGUAUGAAAGUCAUAUAUGCAAAAUUACCACAAAAAUUCCUGCUGUGAUCAUUAUGAAAUUGCCUUUGAGUGUGGGUUUCUGGCUGGCUUUCCAAACUAUGCAAUCCCUUUCCCUAAGCCCCUGGGCAGCACUUUCUUCUGUCCCCUUGGCCUACCUUGCCUUAGCAUAGUACAGUAAAUGUAGUGACUAUUCCAAGCCCUAACUUCUAGGACAGUCCCUUUCAAAAAAAAAAAAUUAUUCUUAUUGUGGUGAUAAGAAGAAUAGAUCAGAGGAUUUGAUUAUAACCUUUAAAAAUCAAUUUCAAAAAACUGGUGUUAUGUUUGUGCUUUCUAAAGGCACAUAUAUCUUAAGUAGAGCCCAAAUAUAUUUGUUUUGUCUAAUACACGGGUAACUCCUGAAGUAGGCAGAUGUCCACAUCCAUAUUUAUGGCAAAUACAGUAUGUAACCAUUCCAGUGUCUGGGAAAGGGUCAACAAUUUCAAGCUAUAAUUUCCCCCUCAUUAUAUUGCCUUACUUCUUUUCAAAGACUGACAUAGAAACUGCCAUGAAACAGAGACCCGUCAAAAAAAUAGAAUAUCAUAUCUUACAGCUGGGUACAGGGAUGAUCUACGUAAUAUUUUUCAUUUCUCAUCUCCUGUUUGAGUGAUACAGUCAGCACCCCACAACUCAAUAUUAGAAAGGAGCUCAUAUUUCAUAGGAAUGAUUGCUAUCAUGUGUUUGGCAGAAAGGUGGCCCAUUAGAUAGAUCUCCUACUAAUGACAUCAGCAAUUCAAUGACAUUUAAAAAAAUAGAAUUGAGUACUAUUUCCAAAAAGGAUGGAUAUCUUUUAGGGAAUAAUACUGCCCCUUUUUUGACUUUCAUGCUUCAGUUCAUCCAAAACAGGUGCGCUGAAGAACUUGCAUCCGUAAUCUGAACAAUAUGCUUCCUUUAGUAUCAGUUCCAGGUGAAAUGAAACCAACCAAAAGAGCAUGACAAUCUCUCUGAUGAUUAUAACCAACAGUUCUCCCCAAAACAGACUUGUGAUUGUUGUUAUUCCAGCAAGUUGGCCAUUUACAAGUGGAUUCUAUCCAAAAAAAUGUACUUGUAAAUUUGCAAAGUAGAAUAUCAGGUAUGGAUUUCCAUACAUACAGUAUUACAAAUGUUAGAUUCCCAGACCAGCCCAUAGAAAUCUAGUUCAUUUAUAACUUGCUGAUGUUGUAGGAGAUGUAUGCAAAAUUUAAAGAGUAAGGAAUUGGCCUUGGGAAAUCUGAGAUCAAAAACAAUCUCUUUAUGUUUUCUCCCAGUUCCAGAAAGAAUGAAAGAAGAAAGGAAAGGGAUGGGAAGAGAAAGGAAAGGAGCUAGCCUUCUAUGACCAAUACUUCCUGGUAUUCAUACCCUGUGUAAUCUCUUCUUGAGUGUGGGUUGGACUUAUUAUUAAAUUACUUCUAACAAACAAUAUAGAAGUGAUGGAAUGGCACUUCCAAUAUUAGGAUAUAAAAAAGGCUGUGACUUCUGUCUUGGGUUGUCUCUCCUUGGUGUUCUCUGUCUUUGAUCACUCACCUUAGUUAAAAAAAAAAAAAUCUAGCUGCUAUGUCAUAGAUGCAACCCAUGGAAAAGUCCAUAUGGCAAGGGACCAUGCUUCUAAGCAAGCGAUCUUGGGGACAGACUCCCCUUACUAGACAAGCUGUCAAAUGAGAUUGAAACCCUGGACAACAUUUGACUGUAAAUUCAUAAGACACCUUGAUCUAGAGGGGCUCUAAACCAUGCCCAGAAUCCUUUCUAGAACCUGUUGAGAAAAUACAUUAAAAUACUGAAUUUAGAGUAACUUAUUAUACAACAUUAAAUAACUCAAUCAGAAAUGGAAGGAAGGAUAAUUGUAUCAGCAAUGGUCCAACCAGGAAGUAGAAAUUCAUUGAAUAGUAGAUUCAUUGAGAUAGAUCUCCUACUAAUGACAUUAUAGCUUGUAAUUGUUGACCCCUUUCCAGACACUGGAAUGCUUACCUUCUAUAUUAUUUUUUAGGCAACAACUGAGCUAAAUAGCUACUAGGAGAUGGCAAGACCACCCAGAUUUUAGCAAGUCCAACAUGCUACUCCCUAAAGUGUAGAGUCAAAAAAGUCAAUUGGUGUUACCAGAAGCCAAAAUACUUCAUGGAAGCUUGACCCACAGUGGGCUAGUCCAUCAGGGACUGGAGUCAUGGAAGAGCUUCCAUAGAUUCUGUCCAAGACAGGGAAGGACAGGGGAAAAUGUUGUGGUUUCUCUCUUCCCAGUUCCCAUUUCUGUACCUUUCAUUGGCCAACUCUUUCCAGAAACGAGCUGACCCAGAAUCCUAAGGAGCUCAGCCCACAGGGUUCAGCCUCCAGCAAUACAAAGGAGAAACAGGAAGGACAAGUAAUGGAUCUGAAAGCUCCCAGACCAGAUCUGGCACAUUAGCUAACUAAAAGGGGGGGCAGAUUUAAAUUCAAUCCUUAGCAGAUUCAACAGGAAGGGGCUGUUUAUUAUGUCUGAGAACAAGGACUAUUCAUGAUCUACAUGAACUGUCAAAUUAUGCCAGUCAACAACACAAAAGAUGCCACAAAGGGAAUCUAUGAUAUCUGUCAAAUGAUUGAUCCCCAGAUGGGAGAGACCAUAGUAUUCUCAAAUUGGGUAGGUGUGGGAGUUGAAAGAAGGAAGAUCAGGAACAAUCAAGGGUUCUGGAGCCUAAGGAAAGAAGUGAGAGAAGCCACCUGGGAAGGGAGGAGAGCGGGGCAGAUGGUAGGCAUGGGGAGAUCAGGGCAGGCCCCAUCUGCAGACAAGAACAGGUGUUUGUGUGAUACCCUAUGUCAUCAGGGUCAAAAGAUAAAUGAAACCCAAGGAAAGGAAGGGGAGCAGGUGUGAAUGAUUGGUGACCUUGGAGGGCCCUCCUCCAAGCCAGAAGCCAGACCUCAGGGCAUUCAAUGAUUAGGUGCAGUCAUAUUAUAAGGUUUGAGAGUGAAUGGAAAGACCAAAACAAACUUGCAGAGUGGCGGGUUUACCCAGUGGAUUUGGUUUGAAAAUAGAGGAAAGAAGGUAGAGACAAACACCAAAGGCCAAAAACCGAUAUGAUGCACAGCCUGUGGGGCUCCCCAGAGCUAGCAAACCUUUCUAGGGAGGAAUUUGCAACGCAUGUGGCCUUAGUAUUCCCAGGGCCUUGGGCUGGGUCUGGCCCUUGAUACAAAGUGAACGAAUGAGCCAAAGUGAAACCUCAGUACAUUGGGUGAGCAGAGAACUCAGGAAAGAUGCUCUGCAGUGAUGUGGCAGUGUGGUGACCUGCUGGAAAAACCGCAGCAACAGCCAGACCAGUGUGGGCAGUUGCAGUACGAAAAUGAGAUGGUUCUUUUAGAACAAAU